rnacentral:lncRNA from 1 species
GUUCUGGAAGACGUCAGGAGAGACCCCGAGGCUAAGGUCGUGAAGAACUUGAUACGCUACAAAUUGGAUGAGCCAAGCUUGGAUUGUUUUUUUCUCAUUGGUGCAAACCUAGAGGAACGAGAGAGAACCAAACUUAUCUAAUUUCUUAUAGCAAAUAUCGAGGUCUUCGCAUGGACACCUUACGAGAUUCUCGGAAUAGACUCCAAUUUCAUCAAACACGAGUUGAAUGUUCUCUCUAAGACCCAGCCACUGAAACAAAGAGGAAGAAUGUUCGCAACCGAGCAUGUGGACGUAGUGAUAGAGUGGUUGAGAAGCUAAAAGUGGCGAGUGCGAUAACGG